GAUGAACGCUAGCGGCAGGCUUAACACAUGCAAGUCGAGGGGCAUCACGGGUAGCAAUACCUGGUGGCGACCGGCGCAAGGGUGCGUAACGCGUGAGCAACAUGCCCUAUACAGGGGGGAUAAUCCAGGGAAACUUGGUCUAAUAUCCCAUAGCAUUUAGAGGUGGCAUCACCAUUAAAUUAAAGCUUCGGUGGUAUAGGAUUGGCUCGCGUGACAUUAGCUAGAUGGUGGGGUAACGGCUCACCAUGGCUAUGAUGUCUAGGGGUUCUGAGAGGAAGACCCCCCACACUGGGACUGAGACACGGCCCAGACUCCUACGGGAGGCAGCAGUGAGGAAUAUUGGACAAUGGAUGGAAAUCUGAUCCAGCCAUGCCGCGUGCAGGAAGACGGCCCUAUGGGUUGUAAACUGCUUUUAUAUGGGAGCAAUAAGGUCUACGAGUAGACCGAUGAGAGUACCAUAUGAAUAAGCAUCGGCUAA
rnacentral:rRNA from 1 species